rnacentral:tRNA from 2 species
GCCGGUAUAGCUUAAUUGGUAGAGCAACUGAUUCGUAAUCAGUAGAUUGCAGUUCGAAUCUGCGUACCGGCA